rnacentral:rRNA from 1 species
AGCGAACGCUGGCGGGACCGAAUUGACUUGCAAGUCGAGCGGGCAUAGCAAUAUGUCAGCGGCAGACGGGUGAGUAACGCGUGGGAACGUACCUUUUGGUUCGGAACAACUGAGGGAAACUUCAGCUAAUACCGGAUAAGCCCUUACGGGGAAAGAUUUAUCGCCGAAAGAUCGGCCCGCGUCUGAUUAGCUAGUUGGUGAGGUAAUGGCUCACCAAGGCGACGAUCAGUAGCUGGUCUGAGAGGAUGAUCAGCCACAUUGGGACUGAGACACGGCCCAAACUCCUACGGGAGGCAGCAGUGGGGAAUAUUGGACAAUGGGCGCAAGCCUGAUCCAGCCAUGCCGCGUGAGUGAUGAAGGCCCUAGGGUUGUAAAGCUCUUUUGUGCGGGAAGAUAAUGACGGUACCGCAAGAAUAUGCCCCGCGUAACUUCGUGC